GAUGAACGCUGGCGGCGUGCCUAAUACAUGCAAGUCGAGCGAACGGACGAGAAGCUUGCUUCUCUGAUGUUAGCGGCGGACGGGUGUGUAACACGUGGAUAACCUACCUAUAAGACUGGGAUAACUUCGGGAAACCGGAGCUAAUACCGGAUAAUAUUUUGAACCGCAUGGUUCAAUAGUGAAAGACGGUCUUGCUGUCACUUAUAGAUGGAUCCGCGCUGCAUUAGCUAGUUGGUAAGGUAACGGCUUACCAAGGCAACGAUGCAUAGCCGACCUGAGAGGGUGAUCGGCCACACUGGAACUGAGACACGGUCCAGACUCCUACGGGAGGCAGCAGUAGGGAAUCUUCCGCAAUGGGCGAAAGCCUGACGGAGCAAAGCCGCGUGAGUGAUGAAGGUCUUCGGAUUGUAAAACUCUGUUAUUAGGGAAGAACAUAUGUGUAAGUAACUGUGCACAGCUUGACGGUACCUAAUCAGAAAGCCACGGCUAACUACGUG
rnacentral:rRNA from 1 species